AUUGAACGCUGGCGGAAUGCUUUACACAUGCAAGUCGAGCGGCAGCGCGGGGGCAACCCUGGCGGCGAGCGGCGAACGGGUGAGUAACAUAUCGGAACGUACCCAGUCGUGGGGGAUAACUAUCCGAAAGGAUAGCUAAUACCGCAUACGACCUGAGGGUGAAACGGGGGACCGUAAGGCCUCGCGCGAUUGGAGCGGCCGAUAUCGGAUUAGCUAGUUGGUGAGGUAAAGGCUCACCAAGGCGACGAUCCGUAGCUGGUCUGAGAGGACGACCAGCCACACUGGAACUGAGACACGGUCCAGACUCCUACGGGAGGCAGCAGUGGGGAAUUUUGGACAAUGGGGGCAACCCUGAUCCAGCCAUUCCGCGUGAGUGAAGAAGGCCUUCGGGUUGUAAAGCUUUUUCAGCAGGAACGAAACGGUGGUCCCUAAUACGGGCUGCUAAUGACGGUACCUGAAGAAGAAGCACCGGCUAACUACGUG
rnacentral:rRNA from 1 species